GUUGUGUUCGCUUUUCUCGCUUUUGCUUCAGUUUCGCCCAGUUUCGCCGAGCAACCGGUGAAGGAGGCUGAUGCGGCCAUUGGUGGUGGCGAGUUUCGGAUGAUCGUGGAUGCUUGUACAGGUCAAUGACUCAUGAUCCGACGAAGUCCGAAGUAGAUCAGUGGCUGGCUAGUAGUAGGGGUGAGCCAAACCAAGCACCGAUUGGCAACUUGGAAAACCCAUUCAAAGUUCAAACAAAUUCAGACGUGUGUGAAUGUUCAACAUCAACACCGAGGCUGUCUGCUAUGGUCUUGAUCAACUGGAGGUAGGUUUGCAACUGGCUGACCUACCGAUGAUGAUAGCAACGGUGAUGGCGGACAUGGAUGGCAGACUGAUCAGAUGGCUGGCAACAAAGUCAUCACAUCUGUGCCGUGCGCACUGGUACAUACCGGGAUAGUGUGAGUGUGUGGGACUGGCGAGAACAGUGUUCGUUACGAGUAGAGGCUAACAACAUUGAACUGGUAACGACGGUGUUGGUGAAGGGAGCGGCCGAUAUCUCCAACCUAACCUGGCGGCCGUACAAAGGCAGCAUCAUGAAGGCCAGCUUGCCUGACGAGUUCAUCACCGCUCAGUAUCCUGAACCGUUCCAGCAAUGAGUGAUGAUAAUGAUGAUGGAAGCACGGACAGGUGGCCAAUGCCAAGCUGGAAGACAUGUGUCCACCACUGAACGGCCUGGUCCAGAACAGAAAGGGGCAGCGUGUACGGUUGAUUCAUGCAGGCACUUCACAUUCCCUUGUGGUAUAAACACAUCCACAAGGUUCACCACGAUUGGACCGCGCCGAUCAGCAUCCGUCUGUCCUGUACUGUCACCCGGUCGAGCAUUUCCUCUCAAACAUAUUACCGGUAAUGGCUGGUCCCGUCCUGCUCGGCUCUCACUGUCUGCUGCUGCUGCUGUGGGCCUGCAUCUCGCUGGCCUCCAUAUCCGUCGCACACUGUGGGGCGGCUUCCACCUGCCGUUCAUGCCGUCCAACGAGUACCACGACUACCAUCAUGCAAAGUUCAACGAGAACUUUGGCAUACUGGGAAUCUUUGAUUUGCUGCAUGGCACGGACAGUCACUUCCGUAAAUAAAAGUCGUACGAGCGCCAUUCCAUGCUACUUGCCACCACCCCAGCCAACGUUCUGAUUCCAGACGAACCGAAGAAAUGCCAGUAAAAAGGUUAAGUCGGCAGUGCAUGUGCAUGUGUGCAUCCUCACUGCUGUUGCUAGUCUCCUCCCAGUCCACCCUUGACCGUCCCAUUCUCCAGUUUCAAUGCUAGUCUCCUCACAGUCCACCCUUGACCGUCCCAUUCUCCAGUUUCAAUGCUAGUAUCAUCACUAAUCUACCUGUAUAUGUAUUUUAGCAUAUCCACCAUCAAUACUGGUCACAUGACAAAUUACACUUAGCUACCGUGACUACUUCAAGGAUGCCGCUGAUAAUAUUUUUGUUCACACAGCCAAUGAUUUUUUGUGCCACAUUCAUUAGUGCCCUAGCUCGGCCCAAUCUGUGUUCUAUAAUGGGUGGUUAACGACAUCGCACUGUUCAAUCCACCAGACUUAUCAGUGUCGACUCUCAUAGCUAAUGUGCAUUUUUCCGAGCCAUCACCAAGAAGUUCUUUUUCUUUCUCAGCUAGGCCCGUUCACAGUUUGUUUCUAUUUCAAGUUCCGUCCGUUCCACCAUACUGGAAGCAUGGAGAGGGACUUUAUUGUGAAUAUUUUUAAGUUUAUUACAAGCAAAAUAUUGGCUAUGACAUCACUACUACUUACCGGCUGUACUGCUAUGGCAUCACUAGUAGUUAACGACUGUACUGCUAUGACAUCACUACUACUUGCUCCCAGGUCACUCUAACUGUUUUCUGUACCCGAUUACCGGUACUUAAUUACGUCACUAUUCAAGAUGCUUUAUACUUGAAGUACUGCAUGAAUGCUGACUUCAUACAAAGUGUUAGGAUAUGA